rnacentral:rRNA from 1 species
UUCGCCCUUAGAGUUUGUAUCCUGGCUCAGGACGAACGCUGGCGGCACGCUUAACACAUGCAAGUCGAACGAGAGAAGAGAAGCUUGCUUUUCUGAUCUAGUGGCGGACGGGGUGAGUAACACGUGAGCAAUCUGCCUUUCAGAGGGGGAUACCGAUUGGAAACGAUCGUUAAUACCGCAUAACAUAAUUGAACCGCGUGAUUUGAUUAUCAAAGAUUUAUCGCUGAAAGAUGAGCUCGCGUCUGAUUAGCUAGUUGGUAAGGUAACGGCUUACCAAGGCGACGAUCAGUAGCCGGACUGAGAGGUUGAUCGGCCACAUUGGGACUGAGACACGGCCCAGACUCCUACGGGAGGCAGCAGUGGGGAAUAUUGCACAAUGGAGGAAACUCUGAUGCAGCGAUGCCGCGUGAGGGAAGAAGGUUUUAGGAUUGUAAACCUCUGUCUUCGGGGACGAAAAAAGACGGUACCUGAGGAGGAAGCUCCGGCUAACUACGUGCCAGCAGCCGCGGUAAUACGUAGGGAGCGAGCGUUGUCCGGAAUUACUGGGUGUAAAGGGAGCGUAGGCGGGAUCGCAAGUCAGAUGUGAAAACUAUGGGCUUAACCCAUAAACUGCAUUUGAAACUGUGGUUCUUGAGUGAAGUAGAGGUAAGCGGAAUUCCUAGUGUAGCGGUGAAAUGCGUAGAUAUUAGGAGGAACAUCAGUGGCGAAGGCGGCUUACUGGGCUUUAACUGACGCUGAGGCUCGAAAGCGUGGGGAGCAAACAGGAUUAGAUACCCUGGUAGUCCACGCCGUAAACGAUGAUUACUAGGUGUGGGGGGACUGACCCCUUCCGUGCCGCAGCAAACGCAAUAAGUAAUCCACCUGGGGAGUACGACCGCAAGGUUGAAACUCAAAGGAAUUGACGGGGGCCCGCACAAGCAGUGGAGUAUGUGGAUUAAUUCGAAGCAACGCGAAGAACCUUACCAGGUCUUGACAUCCUUCUGACCGGUCCUUAACCGGACUUUUCCUUCGGGACAGGAGUGACAGGUGGUGCAUGGUUGUCGUCAGCUCGUGUCGUGAGAUGUUGGGUUAAGUCCCGCAACGAGCGCAACCCCUAUCUUUAGUAGCCAGCAUUUCAGGUGGGCACUCUAGAGAGACUGCCAGGGAUAACCUGGAGGAAGGUGGGGACGACGUCAAAUCAUCAUGCCCCUUAUGAUCUGGGCGACACACGUGCUACAAUGGCGGUCACAGAGUGAGGCGAACCCGCGAGGGGGAGCAAACCACAAAAAGGCCGUCCCAGUUCGGACUGUAGUCUGCAACCCGACUACACGAAGCUGGAAUCGCUAGUAAUCGCGAAUCAGAAUGUCGCGGUGAAUACAAGGCCGGGUCUUGUACUCACCGCCCGUCA